GUAAUGAUAGACUGUCAUUUUUCUUUUCUUUGUUGAGCGCUUCUUGACAUAGAGUAGAGUGGGGUAAUAUGCCCCCGUGGAGUAAAAGCCCCCGGCCUCUUUUACCCAAAAUAACCACCAGAUGGCGCAAAGUUACAUUUCUUUUGUUGCUAUGGACUGGCUUCACAACGGGGAUAUACAAAUAUCCACUGUGGAUCGCAUAUCAGCGACGCAGUGGAGAGAAAUCAGAUUUCAUGUUCUCGAAGGUAUUGUGUCCUGUAAUGAAUCUAAGCUACACAGGCCACUCCUGAGAUACCAGUUAUGCUGACCUCUCCUGCUCUCUUGGCCUGCCUGAUCCAUCCUUAUGCCCUACUUCUGCCUGGAGUUCUCACUGUUUCAGUCCUGUGGAGAUGGCUCUAUAGGGACAAGUUGAAGAUACACUUAGAUGAUGAUUUUGGACAAUUAAUACAAACAGCUUUUACAAUUAAUGAUUAAUACAAUGGGUUAGGACUACAAUUGCCAUGACAGCUUUAGGACUGCAGUUGUCAUGAACACCCCAGGGUUUCCUGAUAACACUGCACUUUAGGGCUAAAGAUCAAGUUUAAAGACGCUCUUAAGCAAUGAACGUUGUCUCUCUGUAUGUGGUUUUCCUGAACACACCCGUAAGAAGGACUCUUAAGAGGAAUUUUCUUAAGAGCUUCUUUGCAGUGCACAUCCUUGCAAAAGGCAUUAGUAGUUGUUAAAUCCAGUCGAUGAGGUCAUAUGGCAUUUAUUUUUCAACAAAAACCAAUGAAAUAUAAAGUGCUUAAAAUAUGUUAAUAUAUUGUAUCAUUGUUAAGCAUUACAUAAAUAAUGUGGUAAUUAAUAAUU